GCGGCGGCCUGCUUCCACUCCCCCCGGCGGGCGCCGAGGACGGCCUCGACGAAGACGUCGUGGUCGGGGUCGGU
rnacentral:tRNA from 1 species